rnacentral:lncRNA from 1 species
GGAGGUUACCAGGCUAGAAGUCGAAUCGGAGCUACAGUUGUUGGUCUACGCCACAACCACAGUAAUGCGGGAUCUGAGCCUUAUCUGCAAGCUACACCACGGCGCAUGGCAACAUCGGAUCCUUGACCCACUGAGUGAGGCCAGGGAUCAAACUAGCAUCCUCAUGGAUUUCUGAGCCACAGUGGGCCUCCAAGGGUAAUUAGCCUUUCAGAGACUCAGUUUCCUUGUUUAUACAAUGAUGGGGGUCAAAAAUCACUUCAGAUAUUCUGUACAUAUUAAGUAUACAAAAAGUAAAAUAAGACAUUAAAUCUCUUCUUUCAAUUGUUCUUUUUCUUUAAAUCAUCUCUGAAAUUAAUAAUAUUAGUGGACAUCUGGUAGAUCCAUUAAAUCCACCUUAGCUUGCAGCUAAUUAAUAAGCCAUCACUGAAAGUUCUGGUUACUUUAUGUCAGACUGUCCCUCAAAGGCCACCAGGUCAAAUAAAAUCCCAUGCAGCUCUAGAGUUGCAGGUUACUGUGACCCACUGAAAGCUUGGCCUUUUUUAAUUUACUGAUUAAGCACUGCUUACUAAACAUUGAUCUAUAUAAAAUUAUUCUGGAUUCCAAAAGGAUCUAAUAUUAGAGGAAAUAUAAUCUUAAAUUCCAUGUAUGGUAGCAGCUGUCUCCAACAGAUAACGCAGUGUAUUCAAGAUAUCUAAGCAGCGUCCAGAAAUGCUACAACCGAGCUCUCUCAAUCUUAAAGCUAGGCUGUGUCCACUUUUGGAUUAUUUUCUCCCCAAACUGUUUAUCAUUAAUCAGAUGAAAAAUUACAAUUAAAAAAAAAAUGAUUGAUUUACACUCUCCUCAGCCAAAGAUACUGAUGAGGCCAUCAAGAUUAUGGCAAGUGCAAAUACAUCAUGAAUCGCUCUGUCCGCAAUAUUACGAGUAAGCUUGGUAGCAAGGUGCCAACGUGAUUAUGCAAAUACCACUGCUAUUGGCCUCUCAGUCAAACCUACUGCCAAGAUGCUUGGGAGAUCCAUUUCCAUAAAUGGCGACAAUAUAUCUCAGUCUCACUGACAUUAAUAAUUUAUGAUUAAUCAGUUUAUAAAGACUUGCUAACAGCAGAAGGAAACAGAGAGGAAGAUGGAUUCUCUUUCUUCGAAUCUAACCUUAGUUUCCUCCCAGGCUAAAUCUAAUCAUUUGUUUCUGAAGAUUAGAUAAUUGACUAGCCACUUACUUAAACUUCUGUAAAGGGCAUCAAUAAUCCUCCCAGGGGUUCAUCUUUGAUCAGGGGAGGUUAAGUUAAAUUGACUCCUAAUCAUGCAAUUUAGGGAGCAGCAACCAGGAUGCUGCCACCCAGAAAUGAGCUGAAUGUCCACAUUCAGCAGAGAAAGCUCUAGUAGCUUUGUGAAGGGUGUUGAGGAGAGACUGAUGUGGCCCCAUUAAUUUGCACAGUAAUAAACCUGAUGAAAUAGGAAUGGCAGUAGAUAGAGGAAAUAGCUGUUAUAGUACUUUGAUUUGCAGAUGAUAAAUUACACAUUUUUUUAUCCUCAAAGAAUUAACAUUUGAUUCUAAAUCUUUCAUGACUUAAGUUAUAAAUUCUAUUUUCAUUUUCAAAUAUAGGCAAAAAUACGGAAAAGAGUCUGUAUAGCUGGAAACAUUUUAAUUGGUACCAUGCUUUUCUAUGACGAUGAUAAAAUUACAGUAAAACUUUUUACAAAGAGAGAAAUCGUUGUCCCAAAUUUUUACUUUUUGAUCAGUCAUUAUUUCCACUUAGUGUGUUUCUCAGCAUCUUUGAUUCAGAAUUAUUUCUGGUGGGGGAAUUAUUUACAAGCUCUAAGCAUGAGCAAAAUAUUUAUUCCCUCUGACCUCAGUUUCCUCUUCUGUUGAAUGGAGAUUGCACAGGUUUUUAUAAAAUAGUAGUUGACUAGAUGAAGUAAAAAUACAUAAAUCAAUGCUUUCUAUGUGGCUCACUUCAAUGAAUUUAUUUUCAAUUUUGUCCUAUUCAAUUUAAUGAACUAUGAAUUUAAUUAAGUGUUAUUCCAAACAUUUUUAAUGUUAUAAUGCAGCUCUCAGAGUCAUACCUUUUAAUGCUGGCAUUCAGUCCAGUGGCUUAAUUAAUCAGUGUUCUACUAUGGGGCUUUUAUCAGUCUUGAAAUGUGUCUUCAUUUGUCAAAGGAAAGGGCAGCACUUCCUAAAUCUCCAUUUUUAAAAGAACUGUUGAAAACAAAUUAACUAAACAUGAAUCAGACUCUUUAAUUUCAUUCCAGUAGGAUAAUUACAAUCUUCAUAGUAAACAACACAUACAUGAAAUAAAAUUUGCCUUGUGACACUUUCAAACCUAAAUGACUUUGAUACAAUCUGAAAAAGUGCUGUAAAAAUCCAAGAGCAACUCCCAGAGCACAGCAGAAAAUGUAUCAUGCUCAUGGUAGCAUUUAAAUAAAUAAAUGAUUCAGGGAGAUGUUCUCUCCAUCUUAUUUUCUCUGAGACACAUGGACUCUGAUCAUGUCCUUCAUUCUUCUGAUGCUUUAUGGAACAGAGGCAUCUGUGUCAUUUACCUAUGGGCCCAAGUUAACUGCCACAAGCCCAUGCUUAACAUUACUCUUAAGUUCAAGAGCUAGAGAGAUGCACUGGAGCCCUUCUUUCUCCAAGUAGAAAACUUAGUUGGCUUAACUAGAAAAUGGAAGUAAACUGUAUUCAAACAUAUUGGAAGAGAGAAGCCCUGUCCCACAAUCCAGUAUCCCUAUUUAAAGGACCAUGAAUGUAGCCUUUAAGGUAAGAGAUGAGAGAAAGAAUCGAAACAUAUUUAAUGCCUGAUACAUUAUAAUAUGUCUAAUGUUUUAGAAUGUUCCCUGGAACACUUACUCCAAGUGGUAUAUGAAGAAAACUAAAAAACUAUGUUUAAAGAAUGCACUGACUCUAUUUUUGAGGGGUUGAUAUUUCAGGGUCAACAUUCUUAAACGUCAGAGGUCCGAUACUAGAAGAGCCCAAACUAUUCUCCUGAAUGAUUUUGUGCAUUAGAUAGAGGUGUCAGUGAUUUCUGUGUGGGGAUGGGGUUGAAUAAAAUGGUUGGCCAAAACUGUCCUCAUAUUAUUUUCUCAGUUUAAGAAAAAGAUAAAAACAAAUAAUGUGAGUUAGAGUAGCAUGAUUCGUAGACAUCUUUUGUGUGUGUGUGUGUGUGUGUGUUUCUCUUGUCAGUCCAGUUCCAGGUAGGCCAUCCCUCUUAAUUAUCAAGAUGAGUGGGGCUCAUUUUUUCCUGUGUGACAGAGGUUGCUUCUGGGAUAUAUUUAUAAAAUUGGAAUUUAGUUGAUUGUAAAAGAAAUACACUUUUGAUUCCCUCUCCACUAUGCAGUACUCACCAUUCAGGCUUGCUUCUCACACUAAAAUAUUCUCUUCUUAUAUAAAAAAUAAAGAGGGAAAAUCUGUUUUCCUUGGUGCUUGUGAGAGGCGGUAGCAAAGUGGUAAAUUCAGCCCACUUCAUCUGCAAGAUCCAGGUUAAAUGCAAAUGAAUUAAUUCAGAUAUGCUCUCUUACGACUCAUCCGACUGGAUUUUCAGAUACCUUAAUUUAGCUCUGCUCCUUGAUUCUCGGUUGCCCAUCUGACUAGUUCUCGAUUCUAGGUGAGUGCUGAAAUCCUUAUGCUUGAGUCCCACCCCUAAACUUCUGGUUUAAUUAUUACAGGGCGGUCCUGAGCAUCCAGAUCUCUAACAUCUCCCCAGAUGCUUCCACUAUUCAUCACAGUUCAAUAACACUGACUUGGACCCUCUUCACUGAUAACUUGUUUUGGAUUUACUGUUCUGAAUUUUGACCCUAAAAACCACUCUGGGAUUUGACCUUUUGUAUUAUCCAUUUGGGAUCCUUCUCAUUACCCAUUCAAUCACAUAUUCAGUUAUUCAAUACAUUUUUACGAGUGUUUUAUGGAAGAGUUGGUAAGUACGUAGUAAAUAUUUUAUCUUCCCUCUAAGAACUUACAGGCUAGUGUCAGGGAUACGCAUUAAAAAUUACAUAAACAGUUGCUUAAAUCAUUACAUUCUGUUCUUACCCAAGGUCUCUAACCUUGUUUUUGGCCUCAUCACUGAUAUAAUUUCCCCUCGAGAUACAGUCCUUCGUCAUACUGACAGUGAAGUUCUAUCAAGAAAUAAGCUAUUUUUUCAGUCAGAGUUUCCACAAAUUCCGUUUUCUACACCUAGAACUCUUUAUUCUCCCACCUCGAUAAAUUGUGCAGUUCUUAUUCAUUUUACUGCAAUUAGCUCAACAACAUCAUACUCACAAGUUUCCACUAAUUUCCAUUAUCUCACACUGCCACUCCAAAAUAAAGUCAUAUAUUACUCUGUCAUUGACUUUUAACCUGAAUAUACAAAUAGAUUCUAGUACAGGAAAGAUAAACUUUCCAUCAAUUGAUCUACACAGAUCAGUAUGUUCAAUGGAUCCCAAUCCAUGAAUUCCCAAUAUGUUCUGUGGAUGGAAUGGA